GUGCUGUCGGGGGGCCAUCGUUCGUCUUCGCUGCCAAUCUCACUCGCCGCUGCUGCUGCUGCUGCUUCUCCUUCCUCUUCUUCUUCUUCUUCUUCUUCUGUUGCUUCUUGUCCGUCGCGUCCUAUUUAGCUUGCUAGCCAUGGCCGGAGGUCCUUAUUCCGGUUCUAGCACUUUGGCCCUUGUGGCUAGGAUAUCCGCUGUCUCUAUCGGUGUCGUUUACGGCAGCAUGAAGCUUGCCUAUCUCAAGGCGAAAGAGCCGGCCCCAGCUAAGCACUAGGUGUGGAAUCCGGAGAAGUGGGGAUGCUGAGAAUGGACAGCUGAGGGCAUGUUGUGUUACCGAAGCUCGCUGGAUGGCAGUGGACGAGAGCAUCUCGUGGAUUUUUGCAGGAAUUGGUGGAUCUUAAUGUAGGAAAAUGAAUCGUCCGCUUUACCGAAUUUAUGGUAGCAAUGGACAAGUUUAUAACAUGGGUACAGCAGUCGGAUCUUUUCUGUUUUGCAUGAUCUGCUGAUUUGCGAUCCACGGAUGAGCUGGGCCACGUCGCACAUGUUGAUAUAAAGUGGCUUGUUAAGAAGCCUUUCCUCUGCAUUAGUUGCGCUUCCAAAUU